GGAGGGGUCUGAAUCCAGGCAGCACUGGGUCACCAAGUGAUUGGGCUUAGGAACCAAAGACAAUGGGUACAGUAUUCCUCCCAGAAGAUGCAAUGACAAUGAAAAUGAUGGUGUGGGACAGUGAAUUGAACCCUUACCUUGUCGCUUAUAGUGUGCUUGUCAGGGAAGUCCUAGGUCUUGGUGUUUGUUGUCAGGAAUAUUUAGUUCCAGUGACUAAAAUGGAACUAAUCCUGCUCAAUAAAAAUAGACUUUCACAUUUGUAAAAUUUCCAAUAGGAAUAACAACGUUAUUAAGUAAAAGUUUAAGCCAAGAACUUCCUAAACCAGCAUUUUCCUUGUAUUUCCUCUAAACGGGGAAAAGGACCAUUAAGAGUAGAAAUUUGAUUCUUCAUAUGUAUCAUAAAAGGAGUUUCAUCAGAAGGUACAUAAGAAGGACCUACUGCAUAGCACAGGGAACUCAAUGUUCUGUAAUAACCUAUACAUGAAAAGAAUCUGAAAAAGAAUGGGUAUGUGUAUGUACAUGCAUAGCUGAAUCACUUUGCUGUAUACCUGAAACUAACCCCACAACACUGUAAAUCAACUAUACUCCAAUAGAAAAGAAAAAUUAAAUUAUAAAAGAAACAAUUUGAUCGUUUAAACAGAUGGAACUGAUAAAAUCAUCCUGUCGUGUUCAACUUACUGACUUGCUUGCAUCACUUUGUACCUGGUGUAACUCAGACAAUGACAACAACAACAACCAAAAAAAAAAAAAAAAAAAGGAAAAAAAAAAAAGACGACACAUCAGGUAUAAAAACACAACAUUCAGGAUGUAUUAUAUCAUAAGCUCCCCCUUGGGAAGCAGUUAAAAUAUCAAAGGCCAUGCAAUUUUGAAGGACCACUUUUCUUAUCAUGAGACUUUAGAACUGAGCAAGCUAUUGGCUUGAUGACUAUCAUUCAAAGUUUGCUCAGUGAAUUUUGUUAAAGCCACUAAGGGAGGGAUGAUAUCUUCUAUUCCAAGUGAAAAAAUGAAUAGACUGGCUAAAUGGUCCAACUGAUUGAAACUCAGGCAUGCUCACAUUAAAAGCAGAGUGUUGAGGGCUGUUGUCCAGGCCCCUAUGUAUAUAGGUGAUCUUAAGCCCCCCAAAAACUAAUUGUGCAUCUUUCUAACCAACCUGGGGAGAGCUAAGGCCAUAAAUUUGUUCUACAAAUCCAUAGAUCCCAUUAGGAUCUACCCAAUAUUUAAUAUCUAGUGAAAAGGAAUAUUUAUGGCCAGGUUUAGAACAGGUGUCAUGAAAUCAACCAGGUUAAGAAGAUCCCACUUAGUAAUAUUGGCAGCAAUGAUAGCUUGCUUGGUACUAGAAUUUCUUUCUUCUAAAAUAAAAUUUCUAAGAGCCAUGCCAGGCCUCAGAGAGGAUAAACCUACGGAGAUGACCUAGGAGUACUGGACUGAGGUAACUGGGUUUGUAAACCCAGCAAUUGGGUUGAUUUUUGAAACUUGGAAAUGGUUAAGCUCAAGGAAUAAAUAUAUUUGGUUUGUAAGCAAAAUAUGAAAAAAUUAUCGAAGUAAUUAGUAUACAGUCCUGGUCCAGCAUCUUGGGUUAGAUGUCUACUUCAGAUGUCAUCUUCAUCUUCUUCUGGUCUUGUAGUGCUGGUCUAAGGUACUUGAAACUGGGCGUCAGAAACAGGAGUUGCAGUUCAUUUAGGAAAUGCGGCCUAAAAGGGCCCCUUCCUUGGCUAUAAAGAGUCCUUUGAUGUCUUUUCCAGUAUGCAUAAUCUCCUGGUUGCAGAUCAUGGGGUAUCUCUUCUUUAUCCAAAAACAGAUUGCUGUGAUAAGCUUCAGAAACAAACGUUAGAAUAAUGCAACAUAACAACAAAGAGCCAUCUGAAUCUUUGGCAGUGACUAUACAAAAAAAAAAUAAAUAAACAACAACAACAACAACAAAAAAAAACAAAAAAAAAAAAACCCUCAAAAACAACACUAGAAAUCUUUUUUUUUUUUUUUUUUUUUUUUUUUUUUUUUUUUUGUUACAUCUGCAACAUGCCAAAGUUCCUGGGCCAGGGGUCAAACCCAUGCCACAGCAAUGACCCAAGCCAUAGCAGUGACAAUGCUGGAUUCUUAACCUGCUGAGCCACCAGGUUCAUUCCAACACUAGAAUUUAAUGUCCACCGAAACAAUUUCUUUUCUCUAUAAAAUUAUUUCAAUUUCUACCAAAUGACUAAUUUAUUUGCAAAAUAAAUCUGGCUUCAAUAAACUUAGCCUGAUUAUUUAUGUAAGAGGCAUUUACAGUACAUGGAAAGUUGAUAAAAGCCUUCGGAACACAUUAGUAGACUGAUAGCAGCAAGAGAUUUUUCUGUUCUUAUACUAACUCCCCAAGUUUCUUAGGAUGAGAUUAAUUUUACACUCCAUAGAAAAAUAGGAGCUCAGCUCAAAACAAGGUGCCUCUUGGCUAGUUCAAAUCAAAAAUUCUGAAGGAUCAAGAAAAGUCACAGCAAGCUGGUCAUGUUCCAAGGUUAUCACUGUUCACCCUCAUUAAAACCUGUAGCUUAAAGUUGAAAAGUUGUUGAGUUCCUACAGUGCCUGUCAGAUAGAUAGUCAAGGCCUAUACACAUGUCCAAACCCAGACUCUCAGAUGCUCUUUGCAAAAACACUGAGAGAUGAGUUUCCUGCCAAGUAAGUCUAUUAACAGAUGAAAUGUGCACGGAGUAAUCAUACAGGCUACUUAAGUUGGCUGUCCUGGAAAUUUUCAUAAGAAAUCUCAAACUGAACUUUUAAAAGGCAUCAAGGCCAGGAAAGCCAUGUCAAGGGCUUGCCAUCAGAUUCUGCCUACAAUAUCUAUAGAUUUGGGUGUAUUCCUCUCUUCUCGAGGUCACCAAUAUAUCUCGAGAUUCCUGCACCUGCCAGGAGGUGGCAUUUCUUAUUCACUUGAUAAGGCUGCAGGGGACCUAAGGGUCUCCAAUUUCUGGAAAGAACAGGUAGAGAGAAAUGAUAAAUGUUACAAUUCUACUUACAAAAGUAUAAUUUACCAAAUUGCUAUGUCAUAAUUAGCUUGAGGGGAAGGGUUUCCUUAUAUCUGGAAAACAGAUGAAAAACGACUAAUAUUUCAGAUAAAAAAAUUAUGACCGUAUUCAUUAGUUAUCUCAGUCCUUUCUGACUAGUCUUUGAUCUUAAUUUUCUGUUAACAGUUUUAUGAAGUUACCAGGUUUUCCAUUAGAAUUUUUAAUUUCUUACCCAGUUUAGCAGUAUGAUCUGAAAGUUAUCAGAAACCUGUACUUGUCAAAAAGUCCUUUCUAAAACUCUUCUUGAAGAUAAAGCAUUAUUUUUUUUUUCUUUUUUCUUUUUAAGGCUGCACCCACAGCAUAUGGAAGUUCCCAGGCUAGGGGUCAAAUUGUAGCUGUCGGCCUACACCACAGCCACAGCAAUGCAGGAUCCGAGCUGCGUCUGCGACCUACACCACAGCUCACAGCAACAGCGGAUCCUUAACCCCCUGAGCUGAGCGAGGCCAGGGAUCAAGCCUGCAUCCUCAUGGAUGCUGGUCGGACUUGCUAACCUCUGAGCCACAAUAGGAACUCCGAUAACUUAUCCAUAAAUGACAAUGAACUUAAAAAGGCAAGGUUAAAGAUCUGAUUACAGUGCUAUUGACAAAGAAAGUUGGUUGUUGUUGUGGCAAACAUUUUAAGAUGCUAAGUACAAUUACUGCUGAUAAUAUCUACCAGGACAUAGUCAACUUUUAGAAAUUCCAUAUAAUCUCUAAAAUAUUCAUACUAUGACAUUUACUCACACAGUAUAAAGUUUAUUAGCACACAUUUGACAGUAUUUUCCAUGUAAUUUAACAUACCAAAUAAGUCCAAUUAGUUUAAUAUCUUUCCUUCAUAAGGAGAAAACAAUUCUCUUGAGGUGUUCCAGGGGCCCUUUAGAAAACCUCAAAGAUAGAGGUUAAACUUCAGUUAGAAUUUGAACUUUGGGAAUUUUGUCAAAAAUAUCAAAAAGGUUUCAAAACACUUAGUCAAAUAGGAGGAUAGGUCACUAUGGAACAUACUCAUUCACUUUAACAAAGUAACAAUGAAAGACUUCAAAAGCAAAUACACAAAGUUGUAACACAUUAUUUAAAAGGUAAAGAAACUUUACAACCUGCUAUUAAUCUGGUAUCUCAUUUACAUAUAAAUUACUUAAAAAGUUUAUCAUAAUUUUUCUUACUGACAAAUUUUGUUAACAGGAAUACGAUUUUAUUUGCGUUCUAGUAGGUAGUUAACGUUGAUAACUCUAAAGACAUAUCUGUAUUAAUUAAACUGAUAACUUAAACUUGUUUUCAUUCAUUAAUAGUUUACCUUACAUCCCAUGAUCCUGAAGUUCAUUUGGAUUUUUUUAAAAAAUAUAUUUUAAGUAUUUAAAUAAGUGCUUAAUUUCCUUUGGGCCAAUUAAAUAGAGCUUUUCACAAAUUAAUUUUGGCAAUACUAAUUAUCUACAGCUCAUAUAUACAGAUAAUGAGGUAGAGGUGAAAAAUUAGCUAGGUAAAGCAGCAUGCUAUGAUGACAGAGCACAGGAGAGGGGAAGGAACUGGAAGGAUAUCAAGGGGUCUGAAACAGUUAUUUCAUCCAUUUGGACCUUGUCUGAAAAGCUAUGUUUUAGAUAACAUUCUAAGGAAGCUUUCAGUUCUACUAACAUUCCCAAACCUCCCAAAUUCAGGCUCCUGUGUCCAACAUGCAACUAAAAUCAAACAUGGAGACUCUGAUAUUUGGAGAGAGAGAGAAAUAUUUGUUUCAUUUAGCCAAAGCGAGGGCACUGAAGAGCAAAAACUUAGUUCCAUUUUAACAAAGAAGCUAAUAUAGGGAGUUUUAUGUGGUUAGGAAGCAAGAGAGAGGGGGUAUCAGGACACUGAGGGGGAAAUCUGUGUUUCUUCAGUCUCAGAAAAACACCUGGUGCAACCAGACGUCUGGGUACCAGCAGCUCCGUCUUACCUUCCUUAAAGGCAUCCAGUCCUUCUGCAAAAUACACUCAUAUACUCUCCUUGUGACCCUGGAGUUAUCUUCUCUUGCUUGACCAAGAAUCAGUAUUUUGGCAAUCAAAAAUUCUAUCAUGAGAACAAGGGGUGCCAGGCAGGAAGUGGGUGAUUAACAUGUGUGACUAGACAAGGUCUAAUCAGAAGUUAAAUUGACUGCAGUUGCUAAAAUGUUAGGAGGUACUAAGAUCACAAGGGGCACAGCUACACACGUCUAUAUUCCAGUUGAAAUGGACUUUUUAGCAGAAAAAAAGAGUUAAGAAGUUAAAUAUUUUUUCCUUUUUAAAAAAACACAACUGUAGAAAAAGGAAACAAAUAAGUACAGCAUGGUCAUUCGGAUCACUAGAACAACAGUAACAAAAACCUGAAAGCAAAAUAAUUGACUAUUUACAUGAUAUGCUAGAAUAGCAAACCACUUAAGGAUCAAUCACAUUUGGUGGGUAUGAUGAUGUAGGGAGAAAUAGGGAGAAAAAAAUUUGCCUUAUAUUUUUGCAUUAUGCCCAAUGGUGUUACAUACAUUUUUAUUUAUUACAGAGUCCAAGCUUAUACACUCAUCCCACAACAGACCAAUAAAUAGACUAGUUGCUGGGGCAAGGAAUAGCGACCUUAUUCUAAAAGUCAGCAGAUGGAAAAGAUAGUGGACUAGCAUCCCAAAGAACCAUUUUACCCAAGUUAGAAUUCAGGAGGCUUUUAUACUAAAAGGGUGGAAGUGUAAUGGUUGUUGCAAAAUUCUUGGUUCAGAAUCCUGUGUUCUUGCACCUGUCCAUGUAGGUCUCAUCACAAUGUUCCCAUAAACAUCCAACAAAACAAAUGCUAUUCUCUGUUUUGCAACAUUUUAUCUCUAUGUAUGGAAAAGUGUUAAUACCUUUAAGGGUCAGAGUCUUGAGAGUGGGAUGAUUUAUACAUUUCAGGCUGUGAGCAACACUCUUUAACUCAUAGCAAAAGCAAUAUUAGAAAAAAAAGGUAAACAUAAAAGAAACAGAUCCAAUAUGGAGUUAGAUUUGUUCUUUCCUAUUACAUUUUUACUAGCCUACAGAAUUUACCCAAAUAGGACUCCAUGCCUUCUCCAUUCACAGGCGAAUGUUUUGCACUUGAGCCUGCAAUUGAAAGGAAAUUUACAUAGAUCCAAACAACAUAUAGAUUCACUUAUAUUACCAGUGCUGUGCUAAGAAUUUGAGAGAGAAUGGAUGUCCGAUGGGUGAGGACAUGAGUUAUCUGCCAGAUAAAUAUUAGAUUGGUUCACCUCUUGAGACUUACAGUCAUUUUGAAAAUACAUGUAACUGUAAAUUAUGAGGCCCAAGCACUGUUUUAAUUCCCCUUUCCUUGGUUAACCUUCCACAAGGCAUAAUAUUGUUCCUGUUGUUCUUGUGAUCUGAACGACCAUGCUGUGUUUAUCUAUGCUCCAGACAAAGCCUUAAAGAAAAUAAAGUUUGAGUAUUUUUUUUCCAAAUGAUGUGACU
rnacentral:lncRNA from 1 species